AGUCGUCCCUCCCCACGCGGGCGCGCGGGCAUGCGGACACCCACUCGGCCGGUCCAGGCCCUCAGGCUCCCGGAAGCGGAAGGGGAGAGCGGCCCGGCCUGGGCGGCGGCGCCGGAGGAGGCGGAGGUGGCGCGGCAGGAGGAGGGGAAAGAGCUGCUGGCGGUCGGGAGAGCGGCGGCAGCGAGAGGCGAGCCAGCGGCGACGAAUGAAGAACUUUUUCACUUACUGCAGGAUUUUCAGCUUCAGCAAGCAGGUUCUCAUGGAGAACUGUUAUUGAAGAGAGAUCCAUUUGGUGGGAUAUAAUUAAAAAAAAUGAAUCAAAAGAAAAUCUCUAAAUGCAGAUUCCAGAAAAAUUACAGCACAUCUCAGUGAAUUUGCAAGUGGUAAGUUUGCUUUUGAUUUUACAUGGUGAUAUAUUUUGGAAUUAUGGGCCAUAGUAUCCUUGGAGUCUUAUGCUUAGAUGCACUUAAUUGUCAGUUAGCAAAUGUAGUUACUUUAUGUUUAUUUAAAAGUUUUUAUACUAAAUUUUAACCAAACCUGUUUUCUUAAAUAAGACUUUUUCUAUAGAGAAAAAUAAUCUGUAAAUAAUAUGAGUUUCAGAAACAUCUUUCUGAAUCGUAAGUCUUAUAUGGCUUUACAGCGAAUCCUUCUGUACUUCAUUUUUAAAAAUAUUAAUUUUAAAAGCAUUUACUAUAAGGAUAAUAUAUAGUGACAAAGAGGCCUAAAUUAAACAGUUAGUUUGUAAGUUUAGUGUCUCUUAGGUUAUCUUUAUUUUUAAGUUAAUUGAAAAGAAUUUAGAAGUACAUGGUUGUUGAUAAACUUAGAAGAACACAUAAAUAUUUGAAAGCCUUCCUUUUCACUACUCCUUUCUCUUUCAGCCCAUUGAGAACAGUUUGGCUGGUCUGUUUUCUUGCAGUCUUUUCUUCCUGCACUUGUGCAGAAAUUACUUAUGCACAUACCUGCAUAUUUUUUCUAACAAAAAUGUUAUAUAAACUAUUCUAUAAGUUGCUUCCCGAACACUUAAUUUUGAAAAAUUUCAAACAGAAGCAUUGGAAGAAUUUUGUUUAACAUCGGAAUACCUAUGACUUAGAUUCUUACCUAACAUUUUAACAAAUUUCAGCACAUACUCAUCUGUCUUUCUGUCCACUAUGUUAUUAAUAUGGGGGAUUCAUUUCAAAGUAAAUUGCAGAUGUCAGUAUGCUUCCUCUCUACAUAAUUCAGUAUACAUAUUGCUAACUAGAUCUCUGUAUUGGUUUACAGAUUCUUAAAGGUAAAUUUACGUACCAUGACAUGCAACAAUCUUAAGUGUACAUAUGCUGAGUUUUGAUAAAUUCAUCUUUGUAACUCAGACUCCAUUAUCAAUAGAAACAUGCUUGUUAGCACCACAGAGAGUUCCCUCAUGCCUCUUCCUGGUCUGUCUCUAUCCCUGUCUCUUUCCAGAAAAACCGGUUACGGUCUGUUCCCUCUCCACUCCUAAUGGAUUUUGCCUAUAUCACUUGCUUUAUUCACUCAGCAGUAUGUUGUGGGUAGUUAUAUGCAGAUCUAAAUCUGCCUUCUUUUCUGCCUUAAAAAAAAUUGCAAUAGCUUGGAAAUAGUCUACACUAUGGGUGUAUUAGAAUUUAUUUGAUCAUUCCCUUUUCUCUACAUGGACAUUUAGAUUGUGCCAUAUUUUUGUGAUUACAGAAAGUGCUGUAUCCUUGUACAUCCUUGUCUGUAUAUAUACAGUCUCAGGAGUACUUUUUAGGUAAUACUAAAAAUAAAACUGCUGUGUAAAAGAGUUUUACCUUUUGAUACAUACUGCCAAAUUGCCCUCCCAGGAUGAUUGUAUCAGCUUACAUGCCCACCAAUAAUGUAUGAGAGUGUCCUUUUUUUUCUGUGCCCUCUUAACAUUGGAUAUCAUCUUUCUAAAAGUUUUUCAAUACAGUAGAUGAAAAAUGUACCUUGUUAAUUCCUAAUCAGUAAUGAUUAGCCAUUGGAUUUUUUUCCCUUUGUGAAUUGCUUCUUUAUAUAUUUAUGUUGUAUGCCUCUUGUCGGUCAUGUGUUGCAGUAUUUUUUCCAGGAAUGCUUUGUCUUUUAACUUUGCUUUUCAUGUGUUUUGGGCUUCAGAUGUGUUAAUUUUUAUGUGGUCAGACAUGGUUGAUUGGUCUUCAUUGUGAAGGCCUUCCUUAUUCCAAGAAUAUAAAACCACUUGCUAUUCUAAUAGUUUUCCUUUUAAUGAAAUUUAGAAGAAAAAGAUAAAUCAUUGUGAACUGAAGUGCCAGGAAAAAUUUCAAAUGGAGAGUGAGAUUCAAAUUGGCCUUGAAGUCUGAGUUGAAUUUAGAUGAGUAAGCAGAAUGGUAGGCACAUUUCAGACAGGAGGCAUGGAUGGAAUAUCGUCGAACAGUGGUAAACAGGACCGCUUAGGCUAAGGUGAAGAAUCACGUAAAACUGUAAGCAUAGACAUACGUGUUCGGAUAGAUUUCUUGGUAAUUAUUUUGGCUAAUCUUUAUGCUUUUCUAAAAUCUACAUCUUGAUGUUAUAGUUUUCUGUCAUUUUCAUGGUGACUUGAAUAUUCUUCUUGAGGAGAAUAUAUGGUGAAAUACAGUUGCCUGAAAAGGCAAAAAAUAGUGGUAUUCCUUUGGAGUAAGUUGAACAUUAUAAAUAUUUACUCAGUCUGGUUUAUUAGAGUUAAAUUAUAAUUGUUUUUAAAGUUUGUGCUGUAGUAAUUUACAUCAUUUAGUCACUGUAGUCAACUAUAGUUACCAGAUAGCAAUCUUAAAAAAUGUUGAAGUACCAGUAUAUCCACUAGUUACUUAAUCAGAGUUUUGAGUUAAGAGCUCACCAUUUAAUAUACAAAUUAGUAUGUCAGAAUCUCCAGCUAAUGAAAGUAUUUUAUGAAUGCUGUCCUUAAGACCGAGUAACAGCAUUGUGUUCAGUUUGGUUGUUGCUCAGGAUGUGUAAUAGUUUCUCUUCAGCCAUAAGCCACGCCUGGUAGAUAUUAAUUGAGUGGAGAGAUCUUGCACCUCUUCCAGUUAUGCAUUUGUGGUUUGUCGUCUGAUUUGGAGCACUUGGAAGAUCACUGUUUUGUGUUCUACGACCCAAUUGAGAGGAUUAUGUGGAGCUAAGUUUUACCAAUCAGGAUCAUCCUUCCUUGUGGGUUAGCAGGCAGUUAUAAGAUUGCAAAAUGGGUCUCCGGAUUCACUUUGUUGUUGACCCACAUGGUUGGUGCUGCAUGGGUUUGAUUGUCUUUGUUUGGUUAUACAAUAUUGUUUUAAUUCCCAAAAUUGUCCUCUUUCCUCACUAUGAAGAAGGACAUAUUCCAGGCAUAUUAAUAAUAAUAUUCUAUGGCAUUUCCAUAUUCUGUCUGGUUGCCUUAGUGAGGGCCUCCAUAACUGAUCCAGGAAGACUCCCUGAGAACCCCAAGAUCCCACAUGGAGAAAGGGAGUUCUGGGAAUUAUGUAACAAGUGUAAUUUGAUGAGACCAAAGCGUUCCCAUCACUGUAGCCGCUGCGGCCACUGUGUGAGGAGAAUGGAUCAUCACUGUCCAUGGAUUAACAAUUGUGUUGGUGAAGAUAAUCAUUGGCUCUUUCUGCAGUUGUGUUUCUACACUGAACUUCUUACUUGCUACGCACUGAUGUUUUCUUUCUGCCACUAUUACUAUUUUCUUCCACUAAAAAAGCGUAAUUUGGACCUCUUUGUUUUUAGACAUGAAUUGGCCAUAAUGAGACUAGCAGCCUUUAUGGGCAUUACUAUGUUAGUUGGAAUAACUGGACUCUUUUACACUCAACUAAUUGGCAUCAUCACAGAUACAACAUCUAUUGAAAAGAUGUCAAACUGUUGUGAAGAUAUAUCGAGGCCCCGAAAGCCAUGGCAGCAGACCUUCUCAGAAGUUUUUGGCACUCGUUGGAAGAUCCUGUGGUUCAUUCCUUUCAGGCAGAGGCAACCACUGCGAGUUCCCUACCACUUUGCCAAUCAUGUCUAAACAGAUGGAUGGUGGGCACAGAUGGGUCCUCCAUGCUGGCAAUGCGUUACAGGUUUUAUGAUAAUAGAACUAUGACAGUCUUCAAGUCAAUUAAAAUCCACCCACCAGUCUUAGGCAUCAUAAUGUGCCCCAGGCUUUAUUUUAAUAGUGAUCUUGAUCCUGUUGUGGGACUAAUACAAGAUCUAUAUUUAAGUUUUAAAGCAUGUUUACUUUCAAAUUAGCUUUCCACAGGGAUUUCUUGAAAUGCUUUUGUUAUUAAACUCAAAAGGCAGUGAUUAGGAUGAAAUAAUUGUACAUAAUUUAUUUUAGUACUGACAGUGUUACAGAUUCUAAUUUAUGGUAAAUUUCAGAUGUUUAUUUAAAAUUUUCACUUUUAAACAGUAACCAAAUCUAAAUUUAAUUAUUCAGGUUUUACAAAAGUUGAUACACCUUCUUAUAGUAUAGGUAAAUUUUCUUUUUCAAAUCCAAUUUAAAAUAACCUUUCCUUUUAAAUGUGCUGCAACGUUUUUAAAAAUGCAGCAGCAUAGGAGUGAACAACAGCAACACAAAACGGGCAUUGGUUUCUUAGGAGUGGCUUGCUUACGUUUUCUUCUUUUUUCUUCACCAAAACCAACAUGAAAGUACCACUGAAGUAAAACACCAACUACCUACCUUACUAUAAAGGAAAUGUUAAAAUUUUUUUCACAAUAAUUUUUUCAAUUUUCACUAUUACUGUUGUAAUUAUUGAUUGUGAUUAAAAUAUUUGCUCCCAGGAGAACUCCUGACCAGUGGGCAUGUAUUCCUAUUUUAUCCUAAGAUUUUAAUGAGCAAAAAGGGGAGAGAAUUUGCAAUAACUUCACAAUUACCUUUUCUAGUGCAGUUAUAUUAGAAUGCAUAUGUUUUUAAAAUGCUAGUAUAACUAGAUAGUAUAUAAUGUACAGUAUAAAGAGGAAUAUUGUGCUUUUGAAAAGAGUAUACUUUUUACUUUUAUUUAUGUACUAGUAGAUGUAAAAUUUCACAUUGAAGGUUUAUAUAUAUUGGCCAACUCAUAUAGAAAUUUUAUUUAUAGGAAGCUACUACUAAAAAAAGUCACUAACUUUGUGUACCUAUAAUCCCUAAAUUAAAAUUAAAUUUUAAUUGGCUGGCUGUAAUUUGCAUUGAGAGACCUUUUACUAGUAGCUAGUGUUAGGAAGUGAACCUAAAAUAAGAAAAUAUAAUGAUCUGUGUUUAUCAUUAGCCUUGUACAAAUGUAAAUUACUAAUAGUGAUGUUCUUUUGCAAGGCAUAGAACAUUUGUAUGAAAAGACAUUUAGUAUGCUUUGAAAAAAACUCAGCUUUUAGUUUUUUUCCAUUAGAAUACUGCAAAACCCAUAUAUCUUUUUAAAAAAUUUAUGUACUCACAGUCUUUCCCUUGAAGAGAAGAUUGAAAAAGUCUACUGUUCAUAAACCAUGCUAACAUUUUCCUUUUAGCUAGUUUUGAAAGUAAGGAACAAUACCUGGGAAAUAAUUAAACAGAAGGUUACCAUUGUCAGCCAGUUGGCUAUACUGUGGUUAGUUCUUUCAGAAAUUGUAAAUAUCUUGUAGCAUAUUCUGAAAUAAUAGAGUAAGUUCUUCUCAGAGAUGUUAAUAUCAUGUUUUUCAUGUUCUAAUUAGAAUACUUUAUUACUUACAAACUCAGAAAUACGAACAGAAAUACAGCAGACGAACAUAUUUAUUGGUACUGAAAAGAGACGUAGUAAAUUAAAUAGAAGAAAUAUAUUUAUAAAGCUUAGUGAAACACAAAAUUAGAAUGUUCAUGUCAGGCACAAGGGUUUGGAUUUUGUGCAAGCUAAUUUGGCCACAUUUGGCCUGGUGACAGAACUGUUCAUAAGGAAGUAAUAUAUAGAUAAGGUAGGUAGAUAUCAGUUGAAUGCCUUAUAUUGUAUACAUUCCUUUCAAAUAAAGACCUUGAGAAAACAGCAGAGCCAAGUGAAGAUCACCUAAAGAACUUUGUGGCUAAUUUAUACUUCAUGUAGUAGCAGUGGGUACUGGGCAGGGUCUCUUUCCCACUCUGAUGAUUUGUGCUCUUAUUUUUCCUAGAUUUACCUCAUCUAGGGCAUAUUCUUUUCCCUCUUCCUCUUUACCUUUCCUGGUCCUGAUCCCUCUGUACUCAGUUCCCCUAAAUUAUUGGACUACAAACUAAUAUACUAGAAAAGCAUACACUUAUUUUAUUUGAAUGCAGAAAUGCUAUCUAUCAGUAUAUAUACAUAAGAAUGUAUAUUACAGUAUAUCUAUAUAUACUUAACACUGUAACUUUCAGUAUUCCCCAGUUAGCGUACCUAACUCUCCUGUGGGUUUUGUUAAUUCUUAUUAGACUACUAGAGAAAAACCAACUGGCAGUUUGCUAAGCAUAUCUACUGGUGUUGUUUCUGCGCCCUCUUUUGGCUAAUUGAUGUAAUUAUACUGGCUCUAAAGAUUUACUGCCCCAUAAGUAAAUAGUAUAGCCACAUUCUGAACAUAUCAAAAGUACAAACUUAGGAGGAGUGUAUGUACAAAAAUGUAAAAUUUUAUGAAAAUGAACAUGUUUUUAUGAUGUUAUUUCUAGUUCAUAAGAAUGUGAUGACUGCUUUGCUUCAUUUAUGUACGUUCCCAUUAUAUUCUUGCUGUCAAUCAAUCACAAAUUUAUAUCAGAUUAGGAUAAACUAAGCCAUUUUAUGUAUUUUAUUUUAAACCUUAUUUUGGCAGAGUAAUUCCUUAGAAUUGGAAAAGCUGUUACUUUGAAAUUACCAAUUUAUUACAAAACAUAGAAAUGUAUUGUAGCUACAAAGACAACCAAGCAUUUUCUGUGUUUUAAUGAAUAUCUAAAAAACUACAUUUAGUUUAUUUUACUCAGUUUUGAAAUGAUUUUUUUACUGGCUCUAUUGCCUUAAAAUAACUAAGAGAUUAAUGAUUCUUUGUAUAAUUUUCCUUUUCUUUGUUCUUUUUUUUACAUUUCGCAGAGUUAUAUCUAUAGUUUUAGUAACAAUUUCUUAUGUAUUCUGGAUAACUGAAAACAACUAAAGGUGUUGGGCAUUAGAAAAUAAUUGUGAGCAGUAAGAUUACUGAUGUAAUAUGUAUGUUGGACUGAAGUAUUUCUUUAUAAACAUUCUAUUUGAUUUUAAGCAAAAUGUAUGUUAAAGCAUGUUUUUACAUCAGUAAAGUCAUUUGUCGACCUUCUGGAAAUGAAAGGUUUUUACCUAGAUACUGUAAGUUACACCUCCUUAACAAUCAUAUUUGUCAUUGUUGUUUUCUGCAAACAAAAAUGUUUAUGGGCUUCAUGUAGGCUUAAGAUUGUAGGCAAAAAUGGACUGAGUUCAGGACCCUUCAAGCAGUAGGCAUUCAGUUACAGAGCAGUUGGUACUUUGUAACCCAGACUUACAGUUUAAAAAUAUCAAGUUAGCUGAUGUUUCAUUAUAAUAAAAAUACUAUUUUGCUUAAGAGUUGUAUUACAAAUAUUUGUGCUUAACAUUAGAAAUAGCUGUUUUAAAUUGUAGUUAACAUAUUAACUUUUUCAGAAAAAAAGCAUGGUUUAUUUUUAAUAAUGAAAUAGAGAACAUAAUACGUAAUGUUCAGUAUAACAGCUGAGUUAAAACAUCUGCCAGGAUUAACAUCAGUGCGUUUUUGCCAAUGCAUAGAGGCAUUUUUCUCUAAGUAUGAUGGCUAAUGAUAACUAUUCUUUGUUACACAUUCAAGUCACUCCCAUACAAGUAACUAGUGGGUGAUAUGUUUCACUCCAAAGGGUGUAUUAAUUCUGAAUGCUAAUCAUGAAGACUUAAGUUAGGACAACACUUCAAACCAGGAAGUGUGAACUGAUUUAGAUUAUAGCUACACAAUUUUCUGUGUGUUAGAUCAUGGGGUAGUUUGAGUGUUUUCACAUGUAUUGCUAUAAAAUCACAAUGUACCAAGCUCUGGUUUAAUAUGCCAUUAAUACUAAUUAAUAGAGCUGCUAGUCUCUCUCUGGACUUUUCUCUAGUCUCUGCUUCUCUUGCGCUUCCUGUAUCAAUAGAUUACUUAGCUCAAGUUUACCAAGUUUAAUAACCUAUAGUUACUUUAUUGAAUAAGUUUCUGACAUGACCUCUAAUAUACAUAGAUAUAUCUAGAAUUUAUUUGAUAAAAUUCACACAUACAAACAUUGAGUAGUUUGCUAAUAGAUACAAAUAUUAGAUUUUCACACAACUCUACUACUGCUUUAAAAAUAUAAGUAUUGGUAAGUGUAGCAAAUAAGCCAUGUACAUUUAAUGUGUUCUACUUGCUAGUAUUAACUGUAUGAUUAAUGAAUGUGUUAUUUAAUGCCCAAGUUUGUUAACUUUUAUUCUAGAAAUCAUCCUCUGAAUUUAUUAUAAAUCACAGAUUUCAUUGUGCUCUAUAUUUAGUCAUUCUCAGUUGAAUUCUAGAAUAUUCCACAGUACAGUAUAAGAAAGUAUUAGAACCAACUUGCUUGAACUAUUUUGAACCAGUGUUGUAAUUCUAUAUGUUAAUCAGUAUUUAGCAUUUCUGCUCCUUUUGAGAUGAUGAUGGUUUAACUUCAGGAAAGUGACUUUUCUGACUUCUUUUAUUAUCAUUGUGCAAUUUUUAGCAACAAAACUCACUAUAUCUUUGUCAGUUCUUCAGAUGUUACAAUACUGCCUGCUAAUUUGAAACAGAAAUAACAAUGGUAUUUUAAAAAGUCAUUGAUAUUACUGAUACUUUCCAUUAUCAUUAUAUUUUUUACUAUUAUUAUGUUCUUUUUGCCUUGUCCACCCUAGAGAAUAGGUACAAAUGAGUAGUGAGUAUCCACAAACUUACUAAGAUGGAGAGAAGGCUAGAUGGUGCAUGAAUAAUCAGCAUCUCAGCAACAGAGUUGACUGGAGCCAGUUUCUGACAUCAGAGAAUCUCUUUGCUGUAAUCAUUUUAGCCUUAUCUCUUAUUUAUACCAUUUUUAUGGGAAGAGUUGUUAGUGCAUAUAAGCAUUUAGUUUGAAUUAUUUAACUUAAAGAAUUUAUAUUGCGGUUUCUCUUCAGUUGGUCAGAUGCCUUUUAUAAAUAUUUUAGUUUUAAAUAUAAUUGUGUAGAGUAUGAUCAUGUGAAGUGUUAAAAAUAAUGUGGAAAACUCAGCUAUUUAAUGCAGAGGAGAAAUGAAUAGGUUGACCAAAGUUUGAAAAAACUGGCACCUUUUCUGGAAAUCUCUUAUUGCAAAGAAAAGAUACUGAGUGUAUAGAAAAUUUUGUCACCAGAGGAAAAAUAAACAAUAUAUAAGGGUGGCUUUCACUUUAACAUUUGGGAUAUUUUGGAGUUCUUGAUACCUCGAAGGUCUCCAUUUCUAUUGGUAUUUUGAAUAUCUGUAACAUGUAAUGUCGUUCUUAUAACAGUUCAACACUGAUUUUUUUGGUAUCGAUAGCUUUAUAUAUAAACAAAGAUGCGGACAAAAUAGCUUAACAGAAGUUGUGGGCUUUUUUGUGGCUUUGCCUGCCUGUUUGACCAAAUACAGGGUUUAAUUGUUUGCAGGCUGUUAACUAAAGGGAAAGCUUACCUGCGUAUUGCAAGCUAUAUAUUCUUGCCAGUAUACAUUGGAUGAUAUUUUAACCUACUGGUGCCUGAAGUUCGUGUUUUAUAACCUCAACAACUAUAAAACAUCCUGGUGCUAUUCACUUUAGCAUUGAGUGACAUUUUUAAUUCCUGUACCAAAGAGUUAAUUUUCUUUUUGGUUGACUGAGUUUUCUUCUCACAUCGUUGUGUAUUUAUAAAGUAGAAUUUAAUGUUACUAAGAACAGUUUGAUUAACAGAUCUUAUUUUUUGCAUGCUGCUCUGGCAAUUUAAUGGAUUUUAAAUGUUUCUCAUUUGGAUUUUUUUUUAGGUAGGCAUGUAUGGAUUUUAAUUUUGUAUUUUAAUAUAGCUUGGCUACUUUAAAAGGUAGUUUGAUAGGCUGAAAUUACAAAAGAUAAUUGAAGCACUUUUCACAAGUUGUUUUAUUUCUGCAACAAUGAAUAAAAAGAGACCCAUGAUUUUAUGUUUCUGCAAAGCUCUCAUGUCUGCCUUCAUAGAAGAAAGUUGGAUCUCAUACUGCUUCGCAUUAGACCAAUUGAAUUGUUAUUUUGUUAGAAGUAUCUGGAGAAGUCUGAUCUUGUGCAGAUAAUGUAGUUGGAAAAAGGAGGAGUAUUCUGAUCUUUUCAGGCUGCUGGAAUGCAGUGGCAUGAUCAUAACUUCACUGUAACCUCGAACACCUGGGCUCAAGCAGGCCUUCUGCCUCAGCCUCCCGAGUGGCUGGGAUUAUAAGUGCAAUUCACUGUGCCUGGCUUUUGUCCUUUGUUUUUCACUGGCUUUUGCUCAGCAUAUUUUUGAGAUUCAUUCAUGUUGUUUUGCUUUAUGUAUUUGAGAGUGCUCUUGUUAGGUAUGUAUAGAUUUAUAAUUGCUAUGUGGUCCUGACUGUAUACUGUACUGUUGGGUUUAUAACAGAAAAUACAUGUACAAGUCAAUAUCACUUAAGAAAAUCCUUCAUGAAGCAGUAAAUAUGUAUAAAUAUAUAUAUUUUAAAAGAGAAAGAGGAAGGAAGGAAAUGGAAUUAUAUCGAAACAAAGUUUCUGUAUUUUACCGAAUUAAAUAAGUAUAAAUCCAGAAUAGAUUGUGAUGAGUUACAAUGGACAUUCUAAUUGUUACACUAACUGCUAAGAAAAUAAGCCAGUAAAAUAUGCUUAAAAUCAAUAGAGGAAUUAAAAUGUUACACUAAAAAUAGAUGUUUAAUACAAAAGCAGGAAGAAAGGAACAGAGAAAAAAAUAUAUAAGACACAGAAAAACUAAUUGUAAAAAUGGCAUGCAGACAUCCAAUUGUACCAAUAAUACUUUGAUGUAAAUGGAGUAAAAACCUCAAUAAAAAGGCAAACAUUUUCAGACUGUAUAAAAAGCAAGAUCCAACUAUAUGUCUGUAAGAUAAAAUUUAGAUUCAGACAUAAAUAGGUUGAAAAUAAGAAAAUUAAAAAACAGAUAUCAUGCAAGCAGUAAUCAUAAGAGCUAGAAUAGCUACCUUGGUAUCAGGCAAAAUAGAUUUUAAGCUAAGAAAUAUUACUAGAUAGAAGAAUAUUUUAUAAGAGAUAUACUGAAAGGUUAUAAUUUUAUAUCAGUAACUUUUACUGUUUCAUGAAGUAUUUUUGUGAGUGAAAUUGGCUUUUUUCUUGUAGUUUUCAUGAUGGACAAUACGAUGAUUACUAGUAAAGACUGAUGUUAUGUCUCAAUUUGUAUGAAGGGAUCAUGGACCAGUUUUAGAACUGCUGACUUAAGCCAUUUACAUUUCAUAUAACUUCAUGAUAAUUGUGUUUAAGUCUGUCAUCUUGCUGUUUGAUUAUUAUUCGUCUCAUGUCUGCUGCUAUCACAAAAUACCUGCGACUGGAGAAUAUAUAAAGAACAGAAAUGUAUUUAUAGUUCUGAAGGCUGGAAAGUCUAAGAUCAAGGCUCCAGCAGAUUCAGUGUUUGAUGACCUUCUUGUUGCAUUCUCAGUGGCAGAAGGGACAAAAGUGCUAAAAGGGACCAAAUUUACUCCCUCAAUCCUCUAAUAAGGCACUAAUCUGUUCAUGAGGACAGAUCCCUCAUGACCUAAUAAUCUCCUAAAGGUCACGCCUCUUAAUACCAUUAUGUUAGGAAUUAUAUAUCAACAUGAAUUUUGGAAGGGACAGAAACAUUCAAAUUAUAGUGUUCUAUCUGUUCUUUGUUCCCUUUUCCUGCCUUUUUUGGAGUAACUCAGUAUUUUCCUUUACCCCAUUUUAUUCCCACUAUUGGUUUAUGAGGUAUACCUCUUUUAAUUUUUAAUGGUUUCUGUUAGAAUUACAAUAUGCCAUAUCACAGACUACCCUUAGAUAUUACUGUGCUACUUCAAGUAUAAUGUAAAAACACACAACAUUUUGCUUCUAUUUCCCCCUUUGUUCUAUUGCAUAUUGUUGUAUAUUUUUCUGAUAUAUGUGUUAUAAACUUCCUGAUACAUUAUUAUUACUUUUCUUUUGCCAGUCAGUUAUCUUUUUAAAAAAUUUAAAAGUAGGAAAAAUAUCUUUCAAAUUUCCCCAUAUGUUUAUCAUUUCUGGUGCUCUUCGUUCCUUUUGUAGAUCCUAGUUUUCAUGUAGCAUCUUUAUCCUUCUGUCUGAGAAUUUCCUUUUACAUUUCUUGUGAUUCAGGCUUGCUGAUGAUAAAUUUGCUCAGCAUCUGUUUGUCUGAAAAAUUUUUCUUUCACCCUCAUUUCUGAAGCAUAUUUUUGUUGAAUAUAGAAUUUGAGGUUGGUGGAGUUUGUCCCCUCCCCACAUUCAGCCCCUUCCAUUCUAUUAUUUUCUGGUAUUUAUAUUUUCUGGUGAGAAGUCUGUGAAAUUUUUUUCUUUUAUUCAAUAUGUCAUUUUUCUCCAUUUUAGAAAUAGUCCCAUUAUCUCUGGUUUUUAGUAGUUUAAGUAUGAUGUGUCUUGGUGUGGUUUUCAUUGUGAUUAUCUACUUGAGUUUAAAUUUGAGUCUAUUAUUUUCAUCAGAUUUGGAAAACUUUGGUUGUUAUAACUUCAAAUAUUUUGUCCAAUUCCUUACUCCUAAACACAAGUAAUAUGACUUAGUAUUGUCACCUAGCUUACUAAGACUCAGUUCAUAUUUUCCAAGGCUUUUUUUCUGCCUGUCCUUUUGUUUGAAUAGUUUCUAUGUUUCAUGUUCACUCUCUUUUCCUCUGCAGUGUCUAAUCUGCUGCUAACCCUGCUGCUAACCGUGAAAUUUUCAUUUUAGAUAUUGUAUUUUUCAUCUCCAGAAGUCAUAUUUAGUUUUUCUUUAUAUCAUUCAUUUCUCUUUUAAUUAUAUACAUGUUUUUCUUUAAAUACUUAAACAUGGUUAUAACAGCUGUGUUUUAAGCUCCUUGUCUGUUAAUUCCAUCAUCUGUCAUUUUUGCAUCUGUUUUUAUUGACUAACUUUCUUCCUCAUCAUGGUCACAUAUCCUUGCUUCUUCCCAUAUUUAGUAAAGUUUAGUUGGAUGCUGGAUUGUUUUAAUUUAGCAUUUUGGAGUGACUGCUUUUGCACUUGCCUUUAAAAGUAUUGGACUUCGUUUUGAUAGUUGAAUUACUUGCAAAUCAGCUUGAUCAUUCUGAGACUUGUUUUUAACUUUUGUCGAAAAGGCUAUGCUACUUCAAGUAUAAUAAAACCUAGUUUUAGUUUUAUCCUAUAACUAAGGCAUGUGUUCAAUUUGAAUGUCUCCAACCCUGUGUGAACUCUGAAAAUUGUUCAGCUCCCAAUUUCGCAGUAAUUUUUUUUUGUUCAGCCUUGCAGUCUCAUCCUACUCAAGUGUGGCUCUGUAUCCAACAACAGUCUUGGAGAUCUCAUGAAGAUUUCUGAAACUUUUGCUCUGCAGGAUACCUUCCUUUGUGGUUAUGUGCCCUGAAAACUCCAGCCUCCGUGUCUUCAAUUCAGUGAAACUACUACUCUGCUUGGAUUCCCCUCUUAUACAAUGGUCUACCAAGUGACUGCAAACAGAAAUCUAAGGGAAUUUCAGGAGUCACCUCAUUUAUUUUCCUUUUUUUCAGGGAUUAUAGUAGUACUAUACCACCUGUCAGCCAAUGUGUGAGAAUGGUGGUUUCAUACAUUUUCUCCAAUUCUUUCUUGUUACAGGAGCCUCCAUUACUUUUCAAACAGUAAUGCAGUUGCAGUUGCCUCUCCUUUUCUUCAUUAUGUGUUUAUCUCUGGCAGUUUGAGCCAAGAGAGGGCACGGAGAAGUACAAUGACUAGAGAGCACUUCUGUUGAGGCUCAUUCAUUGACCCCUACCCCAGUGCUUUAUGAAUGUGUGCUGCAGAUGUCAUACAGCAUCACAGCUUCUUCUCUAAUUUAUGAGCCAUAAUUUUUUUUUUUGUAUUUUUAUUGUAUUACCUGCUUGGUUGCAAGAGGAUGAUGAGGAGGACUACUAUAGGAUAAAUUUGUUUUUAUAGAGCAAUUUCUCAUGGGUCACGAGGGAUAGUACUCCAUUUUCCUCACUGAUAUCGGCUUGAUCAUCUGAGUCAGUGGGCUCAUUGUGGAAACAUAUGGAAUCCUUUAUGCUUUUUCUCAGGCUGCUUCUGUUACAUGAAAUAAAGCCAGAGUUGAUUGUGAA